rnacentral:tRNA from 1 species
GGAAGGGUGGCAGAGCGGUCUAAUGCACCGGUCUUGAAAACCGGAGUCUCGGAAACGGGACCGUGAGUUCGAAUCUCACCCCCUCCG